CCCCAGGCGACGGCUCCCCCCACCCCCGCACGGCCUCUCUGUCAAAACCCCACUGGCGACCUCACGACCUCUCUCUCAGAGUCCCAACGCACGGUCUCUCUCUCUCUAUUCUGGCGCUGAAUAUUCUGUAAUUCCUUGAGAAUAGUUGGUGCUAGAAGAACUGAAAACAUGGAAGAAGCAGAUGAUUAUGUUGAAUACGUUCCCGUGGCAAAGCGUAGAGCCAUGGAAGCACUGAAGAUUCUUCAGCGAAAGGGCACAUCCUCUGCGCUUGAAGAAGAGUUGGAGAAAGCAAAACUUGCCGAGGCCAAACCAAGCCUUCUUGUAAAAGCAUCCCAGCUGAAGCGAGACCAACCCGAGAUAAGUCCAACCCAGCAGAUUGUGCAACAAGAAAAGGAAAUGAUUGAGCACUUAUCAGACCGGAAAACGUUAAUGUCUGUUCGUGAACUGGCAAAAGGGAUUACUUAUACGGAGCCUCUGUUGACGGGAUGGAAGCCACCAUUGCCAAUCAGAAGGAUGUCAAAAAAGGAAUGUGAUGCAAUUCGGAAGCAGUGGCACAUAAUAGUUGAUGGGGAAGACAUUCUCCCUCCAAUUAAGGAUUUUAAGGAUAUGAGGUUUCCGGAACCAAUUUUGAAGAUGCUAAAGGCAAAGGGAAUUGUACGACCAACUCCUAUUCAGGUGCAAGGUCUUCCUGUGAUUUUAUCUGGGAGGGACAUGAUUGGGAUUGCGUUUACAGGCUCAGGCAAGACAUUGGUCUUUGUGCUGCCAAUGAUAAUGGUGGCGCUGCAGGAGGAGAUUAUGAUGCCUAUCGUUCCAGGAGAGGGGCCAUUUGGUUUGAUUAUAUGCCCAUCAAGAGAGCUCGCACGGCAGACUUUUGAUGUAGUGGAAGAGUUCUUGACUCCCAUGAGGGAGGCUGGUUAUCCAGAACUGAGGCCUUUGCUCUGUAUAGGAGGAGUGGAUAUGAGAUCGCAGUUAGAUGUUGUGAAGAAGGGUGUUCAUAUUGUGGUUGCUACUCCUGGGAGGCUGAAGGAUAUGUUGGCAAAGAAAAAAAUGAAUCUUGACAAUUGCAGGUAUCUUACUUUAGAUGAGGCAGAUAGAUUGGUGGAUUUGGGCUUUGAAGAUGAUAUAAGAGAAGUUUUUGACCACUUUAAAGCUCAACGGCAAACUCUCUUAUUUUCUGCCACCAUGCCUACCAAGAUUCAGAACUUUGCCAGAAGUGCUCUAGUAAAACCUGUGACAGUAAAUGUGGGAAGAGCUGGAGCAGCGAAUCUCGAUGUGAUUCAGGAGGUUGAGUAUGUAAAGCAAGAGGCCAAGAUUGUUUACCUUCUUGAAUGUCUGCAGAAAACCCCGCCACCUGUUUUAAUUUUCUGUGAGAACAAGGCUGAUGUGGAUGACAUUCAUGAAUACCUCCUCUUGAAAGGAGUCGAAGCUGUAGCCAUCCAUGGAGGCAAGGACCAGGAAGAGAGAGAGUAUGCCAUUUCAUCCUUUAAGGCAGGAAAGAAAGAUGUCUUGGUUGCUACUGAUGUUGCCUCAAAGGGGUUGGAUUUUCCUGACAUUCAACACGUCAUUAAUUAUGACAUGCCUGCAGAGAUCGAAAACUAUGUUCACAGGAUUGGACGAACUGGAAGAUGUGGCAAGACAGGGAUAGCUACAACAUUUAUAAACAAGAAUCAGAGUGAGACAACGCUUCUUGAUUUGAAACACCUCUUGCAAGAAGCAAAACAGAGAAUUCCACCUGUGUUGGCUGAGCUAAAUGAUCCGAUGGAAGAUGUAGAAGCAAUUGCCAAUGCAAGUGGGGUUAAGGGCUGUGCAUAUUGUGGUGGGCUUGGUCACCGUAUUCGGGACUGCCCGAAAUUUGAACAUCAAAAAAGCAUGGCUAUUUCCAGCUCCAGAAGGGACUACUUUGGAUCUGGUGGUUACCGAGGGGAGAUAUGAUAUUGACCGAGCUUAUAUUUGUAGAGACGUUCUUCACAUGGUCUAAAAUAUGGGCGGCCAACUACUGUGGAGCUAGGUUUGGGUUGAAUGAAUUUGUCAAGACUCAUUCUAUAUGAUUAUGAAAAGGUUGAGAUAAUGCCAAGCGAAGAAAGAACGAAAAUAAACACUGGAGGGUUCUUCAGAAUCUUCACCCUCGCCUCCAAUGAGGAGAAUUACCCAUUCGGUAAAAUCUCAUGGUGAGAUGAUAUAUAGGGUUCAUUUCUGAACAUAGUAUUACAUAUUUCAUUUGAAUACAAAUUACAGUGUAAUUCUAGAUGGAUGUGCAUAUGGCACUAGAAAGUUGACGCUUUAAUCUUUGGUACAUAUUCUUAUGAGAAACAGUAAAUCAUCGUACUGAAA